rnacentral:rRNA from 1 species
AUUGAACGCUGGCGGCAGGCCUAACACAUGCAAGUCGAGCGGAUGAGGAAAGCUUGCUUUUCGAUUCAGCGGCGGACGGGUGAGUAAUGCCUAGGAAUCUGCCUGUUAGUGGGGGAUAACUCGGGGAAACUCGGGCUAAUACCGCAUACGUCCUACGGGAGAAAGUGGGGGAUCUUCGGACCUCACGCUAACAGAUGAGCCUAGGUCGGAUUAGCUAGUAGGUGAGGUAAUGGCUCACCUAGGCGACGAUCCGUAACUGGUCUGAGAGGAUGAUCAGUCACACUGGAACUGAGACACGGCCCAGACUCCUACGGGAGGCAGCAGUGGGGAAUAUUGGACAAUGGGGGGAACCCUGAUCCAGCCAUGCCGCGUGUGUGAAGAAGGCCUUAUGGUUGUAAAGCACUUUAAGCGAGGAGGAGGCUCUUUUGGUUAAUACCCAAGAUGAGUGGACGUUACUCGCAGAAUAAGCACCGGCUAACUCUGUGCCAGCAGCCGCGGUAA